UACAAAUUAUCAUUGCUGACGGUUGAAUGGCUGGAUUUGGAGAAAUGUGGUAGCCCUAAUGGAAUUAAUUAAGUGAAUAAUAUUGCCUGACAAAUGGCUCCGCGUACCAAAGAGGGCUUGAGACUUAAUUACUGAUGUCAUUUAUCUCUCUAUUUGCACCCCAACAAUAAGUGACUCGCUUCUCAUUAACGUUGGAUCAUCUUCGAAAAGGAAAAAAAGUGGCCAAAAUAUCAAGAAAGAAAAAAAAAUUGAUGUCUUCGUUCCCCACUUCAUUAUCCUGAUAAAUCAUAACAGACUCUGUUAAUUAGAUGGGCAGCUUUAACUGGCUGACUCCUGUCCAACAAUUACCUCAGAAAGAAGCACCACUGGGAACAUUUCCUUCCCUUGGGAGGACAUGAAAGAAAGUCCAUAACAGAAAAAGGGAUCAUUUCCCCAGCCGUGCUGGGGACCACAGUGGUCAGUAUGAAUUUCUAGACUGAAGGGCUGGAGCUGUUGCAGAGAUGUUGCUGAUGCGUGAUGGCGAUGGUGGGGUGACCCAUGCUGUCCUCUUAAUCUAAGACUUAGAAGAGUGGUGUCAUAGGUUGAAUUGUGUUCCCCCAAAAGACACUGAAGUCUUAAUUCUCAGCACGUGUGGAAGUGACCUUAUUUGGAAAAUAGGGUCUUUGCAGAUGAUCAAGUUAAGAUGAGGUCAUCAAUACUGGCCUAACCCAAUAUGACUGAUGUCCUUAUAAAAUGGAGAAACUUGGACACAGAGACAGACGUGCACAUAAGGAGAAUGCCAUGUGACAAGGGAGGCAAAGAUUGGGUGAUCUUUCUACAAGCCAAGGGGUGCCAAAGAUUGUCAGCAAACCGCUAGGAGUUCCGGGAGAGGCCUGGAGCAGAUCCUUCGUCUCAGCCCUCAGAAGGAACCAACCCUACGCACACCUUGAUCUCGGACUUCCAGCCUCCAGAACUGUGAGCCAAUACAUUUCUGUUGUUUCAAGCCAUCCACGUGUGGUAUUUUGUUAUGGAAGCCUGAGCAAACUAAUUCAAGCGGGUACUGGUUUCAAAGUGUCUAAAAACGCUCUCAUUGCUCUUGGGGUUUGUACAGUUCACAGAAAUGAGCCAUCUUGCUGGCCAAGGCUGCCGGCGGGGCUACUGUGAGAAGUCGGUCAGUAACCAAUACCGAUUUCUCAGUACCAGGCGCUGGAGAGAUGGUGAAGGAGACAGAUGUGGUUCCUGAUCUCCAGCAGCCAGCAGUCUGGUGGGAAGGGGAGGCAAUGAAGAUGACCUUGUACUUAAUCAGUUAAAUAUGAAUAUGUAUUCAGUGUGCAGAGGACGGACCGACGAAGCACAUCCUGGGGGAGGCACCCCAAGCUGGGCUGGAAAAAAAAAGGCUCGCAGAGGAAAGGAUGUCUAAGCUGAGACCUGAUGAGCAAGGGUUAUCUGGAUUUUAAAAAUGGGCUGUGGAAGGAGCAGGUGUGAAGGCUCUAGGGCAAGAGGAAGCAAGGAGCGUACACACAUACCCAGAGAAAUCCAAGAACAGAGCAGCUGGGGACGGCAUAGUAGCUUCCAGUUCUUUUUCUCAGCCUUCAUCUUCUCAUGCAUCAAAGGUUUACAGCACACUUAACAUGUUCUGUCCCCCGAGCUAGGGGCUGGGGGAUGCCCGUGGUGGAGACCAACACGUAAACUGCCCAUCAAGCAGCUGAUGGCCCAGGGCUGGGAAAAGAGAUGGGAGCAGACGGAGAGAACAGAGCCACCACUUCUGUCAGGACAACUCGGAGCAGCGGAGGAAGCCACCUCUCAGGCAACCCUGUGAGGUCGCUG
ensembl:lncRNA